rnacentral:rRNA from 1 species
CCUACGGGUGGCAGCAGUGAGGAAUAUUGGUCAAUGGACGAGAGUCUGAACCAGCCAAGUAGCGUGAAGGAUGACUGCCCUAUGGGUUGUAAACUUCUUUUAUAUGGGAAUAAAAUGUUCCACGUGUGGGAUUUUGUAUGUACCAUAUGAAUAAGGAUCGGCUAACUCCGUGCCAGCAGCCGCGGUAAUACGGGGGGUGCAAGCGUUGUCCGGAAUCAUUGGGCGUAAAGAGUUCGUAGGUGGCACGUUAAGUCUGGUGUUAAAGGCGGAAGCUCAACUUCCGUAGGGCACUGGAUACUGGCGAGCUUGAAUGCGGUAGAGGUAAAGGGAAUUCCUGGUGUAGCGGUGAAAUGCGUAGAUAUCAGGAGGAACAUCGGUGGCGUAAGCGCUUUACUGGGCCGUAAUUGACACUGAGGAACGAAAGCCGGGGUAGCAAAUGGGAUUAGAUACCCCAGUAGUC